AUGGAGGCGGCCACGUUGAACCCCCGCGCGUCGGUGAGGACGCGGGUGAUGUUCACCGCCGGGGACGGGCGGCUCUCGGAGCCGGACGCGGCGAUGUCGAAGCCGGAGGGCACGAUGAGGCCGCCCACGGCGAGCACGCUGAGGUUGUACGGCUCCCUGGUGACGGCGCCGAGGACGGUGGCGUUCGACCCCGGGGAUGGGGACGGCGAGCGGACGACGACGGCGGAGCCGGCAGCCGUGAGGUUGACGGCGCCGAGGUCGGAGGGCGCGCGGCCGGUGGUCUGGAAGAGCGUGGUGACGAGCCUCCCGGAGGCGGGGACGCGGGCGAGGUCGGACGGGGAGAGGUACUCGAGGAGGACGUGGUAG
rnacentral:rRNA from 1 species